rnacentral:tRNA from 1 species
ACCUCCUUAGCGCAACGGGUAGAGGCAAUAGUUUCAGAAACUAUACAGUGCCAGUUCGAAUCUGGCAGGAGGUA